AGACUCAAUCCUAGGCUCUUAUACCACUAUAAUCUGUCACGCCCGGGUACCAGCGGAAGCAUAUCCGGUACGUACACAGACCCGCCAUACACCUGCAGUAUAUAAGGCGUCUACAAAGAAAACAUGUCAAUAGAAGAAAAACAUAGAAGAAUCCUAUCCUGAUAUCAGAGCAAAGUAUAAGUCAAUAAUACCAUUAUCAGAAAAACAGUGAGUAUAUAAUCCAAAAUCUCAACAUCACAGAGAGAUAUCAAAACUAAAAUCCCCGAUUCAAACUACUCAUAUACAUCAC
rnacentral:lncRNA from 1 species